rnacentral:rRNA from 1 species
UACGGAGGAUGCAAGCGUUAUCCAGAUUCAUUGGGUUUAAAGGGUGCGUAGGCGGGCUAUUAAGUCAGUGGUGAAAUCCUGCAGCUUAACUGCAGAACUGCCGUUGAUACUGAUAGUCUUGAGUUUGGUUAAGGUAGGCGGAAUGUGUAAUGUAGCGGUGAAAUGCUUAGAUAUUACACAGAACACCAAUUGCGUAGGCAGCUUACUGAGCCGACACUGACGCUGAGGCACGAAAGCGUGGGGAUCGAACAGGA